GGAAAAUGUCAACAGGUUCCAUUUUUGCAACUCAGGAUGACAAGGCAAUGCCUACAUAGUCUAUGAUAAACCUUAUUUUAUAUAGAAAUAAUUACUCCAUGCACUCUGUUCAAAUGGUUACAAAUAUAGAUAAUACCACAACUAUUUAACUGUGCUACCGUACUUGUCAAUCAUAAGGUCCUAAAAAUAAAAUCCUGCUUUUCAGCACAUCUGAGACAGAGUUUAAGCCAAGCAAAAUCCCAUAUGUGUUAGUAGAAUUUAGCUUUAAAACAGAGAGUCAGGGCAUGGUGUCUUAUUACUGAAGAAACAGCUGAUUGUGUGUAUUCUUGAAGUACGAGAUAGAACCUGCUUUGGAAGUUGGACUUCAGUCAUGAACUUAAUCAGGUAUCAGUCCCCAAGAAGAUUGUCUUGAAGAUUCCCAGCAGUACAAGAAUGGCUUGAGAUCAUUUCCAAAACAUCUGAAGCUGAGCUGAGUGGUGGACCUCUCCUUGAAAUAUGGAGAUUGAGGCAGUUUCAUUCCAAAGGCCAAACUGAAGAGCAAGGAUCAGAGCACACAGUGGAUGGAAGGAUAUAUGCCUGAGAGAUUGGCUUAUGCAAGGAAAACAUGAAGGCUGUUUUGAAGGCCUUGGAUUCAGUAAAGACUAAGAUAAACAUCAUCACAGCCUAAUCAUGAUAAUAUAUAAGAAAAUUACUUCAGUAAAAUACAAGUGAAAACAUCAAGUCGGAACAACUGUGGAAAUCAAAUGGACCUGAUUAUGACAACCAAGGAAAAGGAAAAGGUUGCUGAAAAACAGGCACAAGGAUUAAUGGUGUACUGCUGCACAGUAAUGCAUUCUUCCUUCCUUGCAUGCCUUACUCAAGAUUUUCUGCACUAGCACAGAGCUUAAAUAAAAUGCAUUUAUUUUUUGACUGCUGAAGCCAUUAAAUCCUUUGCAAUGCUCUGAGGUAACAAAGAGAUCACACCAUAAAAGCAUUUAAAUAAAAAAGCUAUAUUGUGCCACACAUUUCGCCUUAGUGUAGCUGGAGCCAAGUCAGUUUAAUCAGUAUAAGAAAAAGA